CGGCGGAGAGGUGCGCGAGCGCCCGUUCGCGUUCGCCGAGCGAGAUGUAGAUCUCGGCCAUCCGGUAGUUCGCCUCCGCCUCCGCCGAC
rnacentral:tRNA from 1 species